rnacentral:rRNA from 1 species
GUAGGGAAUAUUGGGCAAUGGUCGGAAGACUGACCCAGCCAUGCCGCGUGCAGGAAGACGGCCCUCUGGGUUGUAAACUGCUUUUAUCUGGGAAGAAAAAGGCCAUGCGUGGCAAAUUGCCGGUACCAGAUGAAUAAGCACCGGCUAACUCCGUGCCAGCAGCCGCGGUAAUACGGAGGGUGCGAGCGUUGUCCGGAUUUAUUGGGUUUAAAGGGUGCGUAGGCGGCUGAUUAAGUCAGCGGUGAAAGACUUCGGCUUAACCGGAGCAGUGCCGUUGAUACUGGUUGGCUUGAGUGUCGGAGGGGUACAUGGAAUUGAUGGUGUAGCGGUGAAAUGCAUAGAUACCAUCAGGAACACCGAUAGCGAAGGCAUUGUACUGGCCGACAACUGACGCUGAUGUACGAAAGUGUGGGGAUCGAACAGGAUUAGAUACCCCGGUAGUCC